UCACCACCUGUUAUUGGGUGGUUUGACUCUAUAAAUACGAACUAUCCAAUUAGAUGUGGUGAACGCCUCUUCCAAGUGCUCAAGUUUGAUAUCCUUGUUACCAAUUUCAACUCCUCUAGCACGAUCGUACCCAGGAGGCUUGCCAUAUUCUGUUACUAACUCUCCAAACCGAUAAUAUGAAAGCUUGUACAUUAGACAAUUCAACAUCUUGGGAG
rnacentral:misc_RNA from 1 species